rnacentral:rRNA from 1 species
AAAUUGAAGAGUUUGAUCAUGGCUCAGAUUGAACGCUGGCGGCAGGCCUAACACAUGCAAGUCGAACGGUAACAGGAAGCAGCUUGCUGCUUUGCUGACGAGUGGCGGACGGGUGAGUAAUGUCUGGGAAACUGCCUGAUGGAGGGGGAUAACUACUGGAAAC